UACGAAGGGGGCUAGCGUUGUUCGGAUUUACUGGGCGUAAAGCGUGUGUAGGUGGUUAGGUAAGUUAGAGGUGAAAUCCCAGGGCUCAACCCUGGAACUGCCUUUGAUACUGCUUGACUAGAGUUAGAUAGAGGAUAGCGGAAUUUUCAGUGUAGGGGUGAUAUCCGUAGAUACUGAAAGGAACACCAGUGGCGAAGGCGGCUAUCUGGAUCUCAACUGACACUAAGACACGAAAGUGUGGGUAGCAAACAGA
rnacentral:rRNA from 1 species